rnacentral:rRNA from 1 species
AACGAACGCAGGCGGCGUGCCUAACACAUGCAAGUCGAACGAGAAAGGGGCUUCGGCCCUGAGUAAAGUGGCGCACGGGUGAGUAACACGUGGGUAACCCGCCUCUAAGACUGGGAUAACUCGUCGAAAGAUGAGCUAAUACCGGAUAAGACCACAGCUCCUGCGGGGACAGGGGCCAAAGGUAGCCUAUGCUUGCAAGCUAUCACUUAGAGAUGGGCCUGCGUACCAUUAGCUAGUUGGUAGGGUAACGGCCUACCAAGGCAAAGAUGGUUAGCUGGUCUGAGAGGAUGAUCAGCCACACUGGAACUGAGACACGGUCCAGACUCCUACGGGAGGCAGCAGUGGGGAAUAUUGCGCAAGGGGCGAAAGCCUGACGCAGCAACGCCGCGUGAGUGAUGAAGGCCUUCGGGUCGUAAAGCUCUGUCGGAGGGAACGAAUGCUCCCGAGGUUAACAGCCUCGGGAAGUGACGGUACCCUCAAAGGAAGCACCGGCUAACUCUGUGCCAGCAGCCGCCGUAAAAC